rfam:Porphyromonas sp. COT-108_OH1349 contig_3, whole genome shotgun sequence.
CCCGCUGUUCCGUCAGCGGUAGCCUACCGACCGAUGCACCUUAAUGCUGUAAGCGGUCGGGACAAAGUACACUUUCGCAAGACGAGACAGUACCGUGAGGGAAAGUCAAGUACGGUUAGUAUCAUACCGUAGAGUGG